UACGUAGGGGGCUAGCGUUGUCCGGAAUUACUGGGCGUAAAGCGCGCGUAGGCGGACCUGCAAGUCGGGGGGUGAAAGCCCGAGGCUCAACCUCGGAACUGCCUUCGAUACUGCGGGUCUCGAGUCCGGGAGAGGUGAGUGGAAUUCCUAGUGUAGAGGUGAAAUUCGUAGAUAUUAGGAAGAACACCAGUGGCGAAGGCGGCUCACUGGCCCGGUACUGACGCUGAGGCGCGAAAGGCGUGGGGAGCAAACAGG
rnacentral:rRNA from 1 species